GAGGGUGUAGCUCAGUGGUAGAGUGCAUGCUUAGCAUACAUGAGGUCCUGGGUUCAAUCCCUAGUACCUCUG
rnacentral:tRNA from 1 species